rnacentral:lncRNA from 1 species
CCUGAAGCUCGCGCUGCCCGGUCGGGCUGCCUGGAGGCGGAGCGGCGCGCUCGGCCGGCGCUGAAGAGCUCGCGGGCGGCCGCGUCCUUGGCCCGGUUGCUUCGACGACGCUUCCCCGCGAGAAGCGGCUCCGGUACUUAUCACAACUGUGACAAAAGAGAAGCCUUUUCACUGCUCAUGGGACCUGCAAGUUCAUACAGUCUGCAAAUUGAAUGUCUCUACUGCCAUAAAAGCAGAAAAUGGAAAUCCUCUAUAUUCCAAAUUUUAUAGAUCAUCUGCACAGCCAGCUGAGCCUUCCAGGAGUUGCUAAAAGAUACAAUCCAGAAUCAACUUGUCAAGAAAUCAUGGAAAUGGCCCCAAGGAGGAUCCCUACCUGAUCGUGAUCCCAAAGACCUGCCCUUCCACACCCGACUCGUCCUCCGCCUCGUGCCCGCUUGAGAUCCAGAGAAGGAAACGGCAGGUCCAGCGG